AGAACGAACGCUGGCGGCAUGCCUAAUACAUGCAAGUCGAACGAACACUUCGGUGUUAGUGGCGCACGGGUGCGUAACGCGUGGGAAUCUGCCCUUGGGUUCGGAAUAACAGUUGGAAACGACUGCUAAUACCGGAUGAUAUCGAAAGAUCAAAGAUUUAUCGCCCAGGGAUGAGCCCGCGUAGGAUUAGCUAGUUGGUGAGGUAAAGGCUCACCAAGGCGACGAUCCUUAGCUGGUCUGAGAGGAUGAUCAGCCACACUGGGACUGAGACACGGCCAGACCUCCGUACGGGAGGCAGCGAGUAGGGAAUAGUGGACAAUGGGCGCAAGCCUGAUCCAGCGAAUGCCGGCGUAGGAGUGA
rnacentral:rRNA from 1 species